rnacentral:rRNA from 1 species
AUUUGCAAUAUUUGUGGUAGGGAGCCUGAGGAUGCAUACCAUGGUAUUGUUCGCUGUACUAAAGCUAGAGCGUUCAGGGAAGCUAUGAGGGAAGUCUGGCCUUUGCCAAAAGAAGAAUGCUUUGCUCGUUCCGGACCCAAUUGGUUGCUGAUGUUACUCAGCCAAUGUGAUAACACCUCCAAAGAGAGAAUCUUGUUGUUGUUAUGGAGAGCCUGGUACUUACGUGAUGAUAUAGUGCAUCAUAAAGGUACUGCUUCCAUUGCCGAAUCUGUCGUCUUCUUGUCUAAUUAU